GGCGAAGAUUGAUAGAAACGUCGAUUGUUAGAUUGGAUAUACAAACUAACCAAGUGACGAUGAGCAAUGGCAUUGUCAAUGUUACAUUAUCAAUACCAUAUGGUCUCGUUACGAGCAUAUCAUAUGGUGGAGUCAAUAACUUACUCGCGACUCAAAAUGUUGAAAAAAAUAGAGGGUAUUGGGAUAUUUUUUGGAAUCAUAC